rnacentral:rRNA from 1 species
ACCAGUUGGAAACGACUGUUAAUACCGCAUAAUAUCUGCGGAUUAAAGGUGGCCUUUGUGCUGCCGCAGAUGGAUGAGCCUGCGUUGGAUUAGCUAGUUGGUAGGGUAAGGGCCUACCAAGGCUACGAUCCAUAGCUGAUUUGAGAGGAUGAUCAGCCACAUUGGGACUGAGACACGGCCCAAACUCCUACGGGAGGCAGCAGUGGGGAAUAUUGGACAAUGGGGGAAACCCUGAUCCAGCAAUGCCAUGUGUGUGAAGAAGGCUCUAGGGUUGUAAAGCACUUUAGUUGGGGAGGAAAGCCUAUAAGUUAAUAGCUUGUAGGAAGGACGUUACCCAAAGAAUAAGGACCGGCUAACUCCGUGCCAGCAGCCGCGGUAAUACGGGGGGUCCGAGCGUUAAUCGGAAUUACUGGGCGUAAAGGGUCUGUAGGUGGUUUGUUAAGUCAGAUGUGAAAGCCCAGGGCUCAACCUUGGAACUGCAUUUGAUACUGGCAAACUAGAGUAUGGUAGAGGAAUGGGGAAUUUCUGGUGUAGCGGUGAAAUGCGUAGAGAUCAGAAGGAACACCAAUGGCGAAGGCAACAUUCUGGAUCAAUACUGACACUGAGGGACGAAAGCGUGGGGAUCAAACAGGAUUAGAUACCCUGGUAGUCCACGCUGUAAACGAUGAGUACUAGCUGUUGGAUUCGGUGUAAAGGAUCUAGUGGCGCAGCUAACGCGUUAAGUACUCCGCCUGGGGACUACGGCCGCAAGGCUAAAACUCAAAGGAAUUGACGGGGACCCGCACAAGCGGUGGAGCAUGUGGUUUAAUUCGAUGCAACGCGAAGAACCUUACCUGGUCUUGACAUCCUGCGAACUUUCUAGAGAUAGAUUGGUGCCUUCGGGAACGCAGUGACAGGUGCUGCACGGCUGUCGUCAGCUCGUGUUGUGAAAUGUUGGGUUAAGUCCCGCAACGAGCGCAACCCCUAUUGAUAGUUACCAUCAUUAAGUUGGGUACUCUAUUGAGACUGCCGCUGACAAGGCGGAGGAAGGUGGGGACGACGUCAAGUCAUCAUGGCCCUUACGACCAGGGCUACACACGUGCUACAAUGGGUAUUACAGAGGGCUGCGAAGGUGCGAGCUGGAGCGAAACUCAGAAAGGUACUCUUAGUCCGGAUUGCAGUCUGCAACUCGACUGCAUGAAGUCGGAAUCGCUAGUAAUCGCAGGUCAGAAUACUGCGGUGAAUACGUUCCCGGGUCUUGUACACACCGCC